CCUACGGGCGGCAGCAGUGGGGAAUAUUGGACAAUGGGGGGAACCCUGAUCCAGCCAUGCCGCGUGUGUGAAGAAGGCCCUCGGGUUGUAAAGCACUUUCAGUGAGGAAGAACGCCUGGUGGUUAAUACCCAUCAGGUAAGACAUCACUCACAGAAGAAGCACCGGCUAACUCCGUGCCAGCAGCCGCGGUAAUACGGAGGGUGCGAGCGUUAAUCGGAAUUACUGGGCGUAAAGCGCGCGUAGGUGGCUUGAUAAGUCGGUUGUGAAAGCCCCGGGCUCAACCUGGGAACGGCAUCCGGAACUGUCAAGCUAGAGUGCAGGAGAGGAAGGUAGAAUUCCCGGUGUAGCGGUGAAAUGCGUAGAGAUCGGGAGGAAUACCAGUGGCGAAGGCGGCCUUCUGGACUGACACUGACACUGAGGUGCGAAAGCGUGGGUAGCAAACAGGAUUAGAUACCCUUGUAGUC
rnacentral:rRNA from 1 species